rnacentral:rRNA from 1 species
GGUGAACGCUGGCGGCGUGCUUAACACAUGCAAGUCGAACGAACCUUCGGGUUAGUGGCGGACGGGUGAGUAACGCGUGAGAAUCUGCCCUCAGGAGGGGGAUAACGGCUGGAAACGGCCGCUAAUACCCCAUAUGCCGAGAGGUGAAAUGAAUUUCGCCUGAGGAUGAGCUCGCGUCUGAUUAGCUAGUUGGUGGGGUAAAGGCCUACCAAGGCGACGAUCAGUAGCUGGUCUGAGAGGAUGAUCAGCCACACUGGGACUGAGACACGGCCCAGACUCCUACGGGAGGCAGCAGUGGGGAAUUUUCCGCAAUGGGCGAAAGCCUGACGGAGCAACGCCGCGUGAGGGAUGAAGGCCUCUGGGCUGUAAACCUCUUUUCUCAAGGAAGAAGAUCUGACGGUACUUGAGGAAUAAGCCACGGCUAAUUCCGUGCCAGCAGCCGCGGUAAUAC